GCCUACGGGGCGCAGCAGUGGGGAAUAUUGCACAAUGGGGGAAACCCUGAUGCAGCGACGCCGCGUGAGUGAGGAAGUAUUUCGGUAUGUAAAGUCCUAUCAGCAGGGAAGAAGAAAUGACGGUACCUGACUAAGAAGCCCCGGCUAACUAUGUGCCAGCAGCCGCGGUAAUACGUAGGGGGCAAGCGUUAUCCGGAUUUACUGGGUGUAAAGGGAGCGCAGGCGGCAGCGCAAGUCUGAUGUGAAAGCCCGGG
rnacentral:rRNA from 1 species